rnacentral:rRNA from 1 species
AUGGUUGACACCGCAGACAGUGUGGAGGAGCACUCCAGUGUGAAUCCGAGCUUGUCUACUACCGAUGGGGGAACCGCGGUCUCUCGUGAGGAAUUCAAUGUGGCUUUGGACACAUUGAAAACCUCCAUGACGACCGAGGUUGAAAGCAUGUUUAAUAAAUUCUUAGAAGGACUUAAACUAUCUACCUCGCCGAUGAAAGUGGGUUAUCCCACUAACAAGGUGACGGAUGCUAAGUCCGACAAGGGGGGAGCUAAUAGUGAAAAGGGUCUUUCUACUAGUGGUAAAAAUGGCACCGGCAUGCUUGCCCAUGUGGAACCUCCAACUUAUGGAGGACCGAUUCCCUCUACUCAUUUAAAUCAUGUCGGUCCUCCUAAGAUUGUGAAAAAUGAGGAUUUUGAUUCUUGGGUGUAUCGCUUCAAGCGUCAUUUAAAUCAUGUGAAUACUAAUCUUUGGAGAACCAUUGAAGAAGGUUUCUAUCCACAUGACGGAAGCAACUUCACCCCUAGAGAAGCCAUGGAUAAUCAAUUCAAUGAGAAUGCUCUCUUCAUCAGCCAAGAUGUUAUUCUCCCCGAAGAUCUCCCUCAUCUUCGACCCUACACCAUGGCCAAAGACGCAUGGCAUUGCGUUGUGUCUCUCUAUCGGGGAAGCGCAAGCAUUCAACGCUCCAAGUAUGAAGUGGUGCAAGAUGAAGACGAUGAGUUUGCAAUGAAAGAAGAUGAAGAACCUCGUGAGCUCUUUCGGAGAGUAACCAAACUCGCGGUCUCACUUUGA